UCCCUGUAAGAGGUACCCAGAUUC
rnacentral:piRNA from 1 species